GACGAACGCUGGCGGCGUGCUUAACACAUGCAAGUCGAACGGAAAGGCCCUGCUUUUGUGGGGUGCUCGAGUGGCGAACGGGUGAGUAACACGUGAGUAACCUGCCCUUGACUUUGGGAUAACUUCAGGAAACUGGGGCUAAUACCGGAUAGGAGCUCCUGCUGCAUGGUGGGGGUUGGAAAGUUUCGGCGGUUGGGGAUGGACUCGCGGCUUAUCAGCUUGUUGGUGGGGUAGUGGCUUACCAAGGCUUUGACGGGUAGCCGGCCUGAGAGGGUGACCGGCCACAUUGGGACUGAGAUACGGCCCAGACUCCUACGGGAGGCAGCAGUGGGGAAUAUUGAACAAGGGGCGGAAGCCUGAUGCAGCAACGCCGCGUGCGGGAUGACGGCCUUCGGGUUGUAAACCGCUUUCGCCUGUGACGAAGCGUGAGUGACGGUAAUGGGUAAAGAAGCACCGGCUAACUACGUG
rnacentral:rRNA from 1 species